CCUACGGGGUGCAGCAGUGGGGAAUAUUGCACAAUGGGGGAAACCCUGAUGCAGCGACGCCGCGUGAGUGAAGAAGUAUCUCGGUACGUAAAGCUCUAUCAGCAGGGAAGAAAAUGACGGUACCUGACUAAGAAGCCCCGGCUAACUACGUGCCAGCAGCCGCGGUAAUACGUAGGGGGCAAGCGUUAUCCGGAUUUACUGGGUGUAAAGGGAGCGUAGACGGCAGCACAAGUCUGGAGUGAAAUCUCGGGGCUUAACCCCGGAACUGCUUUGGAAACUGUGCGGCUGGAGUGCAGGAGGGGUAAGCGGAAUUCCUAGUGUAGCGGUGAAAUGCGUAGAUAUUAGGAGGAACACCGGUGGCGAAGGCGGCUUACUGGACUGUAACUGACGUUGAGGCUCGAAAGCGUGGGGAGCAAACAGGAUUAGAUACCCGUGUAGUC
rnacentral:rRNA from 1 species